rnacentral:rRNA from 1 species
UACGGAGGGUGCGAGCGUUGUCCGGAAUCAUUGGGCGUAAAGGGCGCGUAGGCGGCGGGACAAGCGUGCGGUGAAAGCUCGGGGCUCAACCCCGCGUCGGCCGUGCGAACUGUUUUGCUGGAGCACUGUAGAGGCAGGCGGAAUUCCGGGUGUAGCGGUGGAAUGCGUAGAGAUCCGGAAGAACACCGGUGGCGAAGGCGGCCUGCUGGGCAGUUGCUGACACUGAGGCGCGACAGCGUGGGGAGCAAACAGG